GGGUGAGUAACGCGUAAAGAACUUGCCUCACAGCUAGGGACAACAUUUAGAAAUGAAUGCUAAUACCUAAUAUUAUGAUAAUAGGGCAUCCUAUAAUUAUGAAAGCUAUAUGCGCUGUGAGAGAGCUUUGCGUCCCAUUAGCUAGUUGGAGAGGUAACAGCUCACCAAGGCGAUGAUGGGUAGCCGACCUGAGAGGGUGAUCGGCCACACUGGGACUGAGACACGGUCCAGACUCC
rnacentral:rRNA from 1 species